CUCUCUGAAUAUAUCAGCAGAACCGUUUCUUUAACAGUGGCGUUGGUGCACAUCUACUAACUCCAUUGUUGUCACCUUUUUCCAAAUGCAGCUGUGAAAUCUGUCACCACAAACCUGCCGAGGAAAGAAAACAUAUUGUUCAGUUCAAACAGUCAAGGAAUUCAGAAAUAUUUUUCCUCAGAUACAGACCUGUAUACAGACCUGUACAGACGUAAUUCAGUGGUCCUUCUUGAUAUGUAAGGUGUAGUAGGACCAGGGUUCUGGCACAUAUACCAGUCCGGGGUACUUGUUUCGUAGCACCGGAUCAUCCCACAGAAAGGCCACCCACAGACCCACCAGCAGCACGGUGACAGUGAAACUGUAGAACAGGAACAGGCCGUUGCUGUCCAAGCUGAGGCCUUUGCGCCUUUGAUAUAUCCCCAUGAGAACCAUGGCAACAAAGGUGAGGAGGAAAAGUUCUGUGAUCUGUCCCUCAGUGACCAGGUACCUUUGAGAAAGUUAAAGGAAAGGCAUUGAUGUCAUGAACAGAGAUAACUUUUGUUAGUGGCUCAGAAAGACUGAAACUUUUGACGACACAUUAAAGCAGCAUAUUUUUAGACGCCCAUUCACAAUAAAAACUUGUUUGACUUCACAUAAAAGGUCCUCCUUUUCCAUAAAAGCAUCUUUGUUAUUCUGCCAUCAGUGCUGCUCUGCUUUAUUUGAAUUUCUGCAAAAAGUGAAGGUGGAAAUAUAGAGCUUGUUUGAUGUUAACAAACAAAUGUGCGCCGUGCUAUUCUUCUUCGUCAAUAUGAAAUGCAAUUUUUUUUUUACACACUGAAUAGAUCCAGCAAGUGAACAAAGUUGUUUUAACAGGUUCUGUCUAACUUUAAUGUGACACAUUUUUACUGUCAGUCAUUUUACAAAGGAAGAAAAAGAUUGGUCUAAAUGAUACUCCCUCACAGUCAUACCUCUAUAAAGUUCCCCACAAGUAGUUUAUUUAAAAGUGAAAGACAGAUUCAACUGGGUGAAUUAAAAUGAGCUUGUUAGAGUUAAUCGAGUAAUGUUAAACCUCACAUCUUCAAUUUUUUUGCUAACUCAAUUUUAUUGUCAAUUUGAUGUUUUUUCAUCCCCAUGUUCUUCACACCACUGAGUGCUGCUUCUGAUGCUCUGCCUGCUGAGUACCAUGCGCUGUUUAUGGAUUACAAUUAACUUGAAAUCAUCACAAAGUAAACGUCUAAAUAUUCAUGAGGAAACCACACACAAGGCUUUCAAUGAAGUAAGAAUCAGACUGACCAAUAGUAGAGAGAGCUUGGACCCAGCAACAGCCAACCAGAGACGGGAAUCUUCUUCUGCUUUUCAGCCUUGGUGAAGCAGCCGGUGAAGUAGAGGAACAGUAUGAUGAAGAAAGGGAUGUACCUGGAAUAGAGAGGAUGCACAGAUGGUACAGUGCACAAGGACAGGUGAAGAAGGACAGCACAUGUGGGGAGAAGAGAGUGAGGGGAGACAUGCAGCAAAUGGCCGGGGAGUAAAACCAGCAACCGCUGGAACGAGGAAUACA